GGCGAGGGGAGUGAAAAAGAACCUGAAACCGUGUACGUACAAGCAGUGGGAGCACAGGUUUACCUGUGUGACUGCGUACCUUUUGUAUAAUGGGUCAGCGACUUAUAUUCUGUAGCAAGGUUAACCGUAUAGGGGAGCCGGAGGGAAACCGAGUCUUAACCGGGCGUUAAGUUGCAGGGUAUAGACCCGAAACCCGGUGAUCUAGCCAUGGGCAGGUUGAAGGUUGGGUAACACUAACUGGAGGACCGAACCGACUAAUGUUGAAAAAUUAGCGGAUGACCUGUGGCU
rnacentral:rRNA from 1 species